rnacentral:rRNA from 1 species
UGGAAGUAAAAAGUCGUAACAAGGUCUCCGUUGGUGAACCAGCGGAGGGAUCAUUACCGAGUUUACAACUCCCAAACCCCUGUGAACAUACCACUUGUUGCCUCGGCGGAUCAGCCCGUCCCGGUAAAACGGGACGGCCCGCCAGAGGACCCCUAAACUCUGUUUCUAUAUGUAACUUCUGAGUAAAACCAUAAAUAAAUCAAAACUUUCAACAACGGAUCUCUUGGUUCUGGCAUCGAUGAAGAACGCAGCAAAAUGCGAUAAGUAAUGUGAAUUGCAGAAUUCAGUGAAUCAUCGAAUCUUUGAACGCACAUUGCGCCCGCCAGUAUUCUGGCGGGCAUGCCUGUUCGAGCGUCAUUUCAACCCUCAAGCACAGCUUGGUGUUGGGACUCGCGUUAAUUCGCGUUCCCCAAAUUGAUUGGCGGUCACGUGAGCUUCCAUAGCGUAGUAGUAAAACCCUCGUUACUGGUAAUCGUCGCGGCCACGCCGUUAAACCCCAACUUCUGAAUGUGACCUCG